AAUCUUAUAGUUAAAAUAUAACAUUAAAUUGCAACUUUAAAAUUAAUUUGUAUUUAAGAUUU
rnacentral:tRNA from 1 species